rnacentral:rRNA from 1 species
UACGUAGGGUGCGAGCGUUAAUCGGAAUUACUGGGCGUAAAGCGUGCGCAGGCGGUUUUGUAAGACAGGCGUGAAAUCCCCGGGCUCAACCUGGGAAUGGCGCUUGUGACUGCAAAGCUGGAGUGCGGCAGGAGGGGGAUGGAAUUCCGCGGUGUAGCAGUGAAAUGCGUAGAUAAUGCGGAGGAACACCGAUGGCGAAGGCAAUCCCCUGGGCCUGCACUGACGCCCACUGCCACGAAAGCGUGGGAGCAAACAGG